UAAUACAUGCAAGUCGAACGCGUUGGCCCGAAUGAUUGAUGAUGCUUGCAUCGGAUUGACGACGGUUUACCAACGAGUGGCGGACGGGUGAGUAACACGUAGGCAACCUGCCCAGAAGCGGGGGACAACAUUUGGAAACAAGUGCUAAUACCGCAUAACAACUGCAACCUCAUGGUUGCAGUUUAAAAGAUGGUUUCGGCUAUCACUUCUGGAUGGGCCUGCGGCGCAUUAGCUAGUUGGUGAGGUAACGGCUUACCAAGGCAGUGAUGCGUAGCCGAGUUGAGAGACUGAUCGGCCACAAUGGAACUGAGACACGGUCCAUACUCCUACGGGAGGCAGCAGUAGGGAAUCUUCCACAAUGGGCGCAAGCCUGAUGGAGCAACACUGCGUGAGUGAAGAAGGGUUUCGGCUCGUAAAACUCUGUUGUUGAAGAAGAACGUGCGUGAGAGUAACUGUUCACGCAGUGACGGUAUUCAACCAGAAAGUCACGGCUAACUACGUGCCAGCAGCCGCGGUAAUACGUAGGUGGCAAGCGUUAUCCGGAUUUAUUGGGCGUAAAGCGAGCGCAGGCGGUUUUCUAAGUCUGAUGUGAAAGCCUUCGGCUUAACCGGAGAAGGGCAUCGGAAACUGGAUAACUUGAGUGCAAG
rnacentral:rRNA from 1 species